GAUCUUCGGACCUUGUGCUAUUGGAAUGGCCGAUAUCUGAUUAGCUAGUUGGUAGGGUAAAAGCCUACCAAGGCGACGAUCAGUAGCUGGUCUGAGAGGACGACCAGCCACACUGGAACUGAGACACGGUCCAGACUCCUACGGGAGGCAGCAGUGGGGAAUUUUGGACAAUGGGGGCAACCCUGAUCCAGCAAUGCCGCGUGAGUGAAGAAGGCCCUCGGGUUGUAAAGCUCUUUUGUCAGGGAAGAAACGGAGUUCUCUAAUAUAGGAUUCUAAUGACGGUACCUGAAGAAUAAGCACCGGCUAACUACGUGCCAGCAGCCGCGGUAAUACGUAGGGUGCAAGCGUUAAUCGGAAUUACUGGGCGUAAAGCGUGCGCAGGCGGUUUUGUAAGUCUGAUGUGAAAUCCCCGGGCUCAACCUGGGAACUGCAUUGGAGACUGCAAGGCUAGAGUGUGUCAGAGGGGGGUAGAAUUCCACGUGUAGCAGUGAAA
rnacentral:rRNA from 1 species